AGUGAACGCUGGCGGUAGGCCUAACACAUGCAAGUCGAACGGCAGCACAGUAAGAGCUUGCUCUUACGGGUGGCGAGUGGCGGACGGGUGAGGAAUACAUCGGCAUCUACUUUUUCGUGGGGGAUAACGUAGGGAAACUUACGCUAAUACCGCAUACGACCUACGGGUGAAAGCAGGGGAUCUUCGGACCUUGCGCGAUCGAAUGAGCCGAUGUCGGAUUAGCUAGUUGGCGGGGUAAAGGCCCACCAAGGCGACGAUCCGUAGCUGGUCUGAGAGGAUGAUGCGCCACACUGGGACUGAGACACGGUCCAGACUCCUACGGGAGGCAGCAGUGGGGAAUAUUGGACGAUGGGCGGAAGCCUGAUCCAGCCAUACCGCGUGGGUGAAGAAGGCCUUCGGGUUGUAAAGCCCUUUUGUUGUGAAAGAAAAGCAGCAGGUUAAUACCCCGCUGUUCUGACGGUACCCAAAGAAUAAGCACCGGCUAACUUCGUG
rnacentral:rRNA from 1 species